CCUACGGGUGGCAGCAGUGGGGAAUAUUGGGCAAUGGGCGCAAGCCUGACCCAGCAACGCCGCGUGAAGGAAGAAGGCUUUCGGGUUGUAAACUUCUUUUGUCAGGGACGAAGCAAGUGACGGUACCUGACGAAUAAGCCACGGCUAACUACGUGCCAGCAGCCGCGUUAGUACGUAGGGGGCAAGCGUUAUCCGGAUUUAUUGGGUGUAAAGGGGGUGUUGGCGGAAAGGUAAGUCAGAUGUGAAACUUAGGGGCGCACCCCUUAGCUGCCUUUGAAACUGUUUUUCUUGAGUGCUGGAGAGGCAAUCGGAAUUCCGGGUGUAGCGGUGAAAUGCGUAGAUAUACGGCGGAACCCCAGUGGCGAAGGCGGAUUGCUGGACAGUAACUGACGCUGAGGCGCGAAAGCGUGGGGAGCAAACAGGAUUAGAUACCCUAGUAGUC
rnacentral:rRNA from 1 species